GUAUCUCCUCAAUAUUAUGAGAAAUUAUAUAUAGCAUGUACUAACACUACAAUAGAAUUAGAUUAUAGGGACACAUUUUUGGAACACUUAUAUAUAAGUGUUCCAUUUAUGUCAAAACUUAAAAAAUAAACUACUAAUGUAUAAAUAUAAAGUCUAAUCCAAUCAAAAAUAAAAUGUUACUCUAUUCAACGCAUCCCACCCAGCCCAUUCGGCCCAAUUACAAACAGAAAAGAAAAAGAAAAGAAAAAUCGAUUACCAUUUUCCCUUCUCCCCUCACUCAAUCGACUGAAAUUCUAGACAAAGAUCCCUUCCUCUUGUCCUCCUCCGCCACCGCAACCAACGAGGUAGAGUUCCGGUGGUUGUUAAAUAUUUAAAUAAGUAUUGGUAAAUUAGCAGUACUUUUUUAGGUUAUAGCGACUCUUUAAUUGUCACUAUAUACCUAGCGACCCCACAUAUAGCAACAUUCUUUAAAAGUGUCGGUAAUUUAGCCAGCAGCAUUUUUUUUGACCUGUACCGAUAUUUAAAAGUGUCGCUAUAGACCGUUUUUGUUAUAGUGUAAGAUGCAUGCAUACAAAUUAACCUUCAUAAUAUAGGAACUGUUACUUUAUCUGUAUUU
rnacentral:lncRNA from 1 species